rnacentral:rRNA from 1 species
AUAUUAAUAAGGGGGAAGAAAAAGAAACUAACAAGGAUUCCCUUAGUAACGGCGAGUGAAGCGGGAAGAGCUCAAAGUGAAAAUCGUGAACCCAAGCGGGUUCUUGAAUUGUUUCCUAGAGACGUGUUGUCAGCGGUGACCUAGAUUGAAGUCUCUUGAAACAGGGCAUCGGAGAGGGUGAGAAUCCCGUCUGCAAUCUGGAGUUCGCCGUGUACGACGCAUGUUCGAAGAGUCGAGCUGUUUGGGAUUGCAGCUCUAAUUGGGUGGUAAGUUUCAUCUAAAGCUAAAUAUUGGCGAGAGACCGAUAGCGCACAAGUA